GGCUGAAUUAUUCUGAUAGUCACAGGAGCAGCAUCAAAAUGCAAGAUCCUACUAUGCCCUUUCCUGCCCUACUGGCAUAGCAGAGGCCUGUGAUAGAAAGCACGGCCAAAUCUCACUUGCUUCCACUUCUUAUGGCCUCAAAACUCUUUAGGAAAUGAAGUGCUAAUCCUGGCAUUCCUGACAAAUUCUAGUGCUGGCUGUCAGAUUCAGCCUGCAGCUGCCAUUGAACAAGUUGUUUCUCUGUCUCAUUUUUAAGAUUUUUUAUGUGCUUUGCCCAUGCACGGAUAUAAUUUUAUCUGUGCUUCAUCCCGGGCUGCACAGUAGUGGCCAUCUCACCCACAGCUUCUGUGUUACCUAAAACAUGGAAAGGUUUUUCUGGAUAAACCAUCCUACGUUUGGUUCCUUUUGGUUCUACAUUUGGCUUCCUUUGGUUCUUCCCUUGCUGGGGAGCCACCAGGCCUCUGGCUCACUCCAGGCAGAUCUCUGUGGCUUGGGAACAGGGUGACAAAGUGGUGGGCUCUCCCCAAACCCGAGCAAAGAAGCUCAAUCUCCCCAGCCCAGCACUACACAGGUUUCCUAAAGGUGAUCCAGCAGGACACCUUAGCUCCAGUGCCUGGCAGGCCUGGUGCUACUGCAAGCAGAGCCAGCCUGGGGCUGUGCUGUGGCAGUGCAGUCAUGCAUUUUGGGGUUUUCGUCAGGCCAAAUUAGGCUUGGACUCACCGUGUAUAAUUGAGGUAUGGAAACUAGAAGCCACGGUGAAUUUGCUUUUGCCAAGAACAUCAUUAACACUUAAAAUACAAACGGGCAGAACCCCCUAGGGACUCCUGCACAGUCAGUAGGAGAGCCUGAUAUGUGCAGAGAGCAAUUCCCCCCUUCCACAUAAGGAUCCUUCUCUGGCUGCCCCCCUGGAGACGUCUGUUUUCCUCUAGUGCCUGUGGAGGCAGUUUCUGACUUCUAAACCUUUACACAUGUGAGCAAGAAAGGACUGCUUGGACACAAGCAGGGGGAUGUGUGCAAUCAGGCAUGUCUCUGCAAACCCUCAACAUCUGUAAAUGCUUACACGCACAUCAGGCAGAAGCAAAAGUAAUUCUGGAGUAUGUUAAGUCAGUGCAAGGGAUAAUGGUUCUUUACCGUAUUUGACCCUGUGGUGGGGCAAAUUCCCUUGAUAUUGCACAGAAGGAAAGAGUUAAUUAGGUGCCAGGCUGACUCUCAGCCACAUACUUGGAAGCCUUACACGGCCUGAUGUGGCGGGGAUAAAAGACAGGCCCUAGAUAAACAAAAGUAGGAGGCUUUCAUCUGCGAACCUCUUCACUGGCCCACCACUAAGAGCAGAGAGAUUUCCCAGAUAUGAAGGACACCCCCUCUGUGGAAACUUGAGGUCAGUGGGAUUAAACAGGUCACGGUGAGACCCGGGCUGUCCCAGGAGGGUGAGGAGCACUGCUUUCAGCCCACAGCAAGGUGGCACAGAGCCACCAGGUACCCCUAAACCUGCUCAGACUGUCCUCCACAGCCCUGCUCUCUGCACAGCCACCUCUCUGCACACCCCAUGCUAAGGAUCAGCACGAAAAGUCCCUGUUUCUACUGCCAAAAGCCCUAGGUGUAGUUUCCCCAGACAACUGCCUGUAGUGGCUUUGUGUAUAAAGAGCCAUAGAUGGCUGAAAAGAUGCACUUUUCCAUAAGCUGUUGGAAAACAUUUGGGUCUGAAUUUGAGGAUAACUUUUCUGUGUAUGUACAUAUGCACUCUGCGCUGAUAAAAAAGUAGCUUUUUAUUACAGGGAUUCCAACUGUAAACUGGAAGCUGCUAAUAUAUCUCCUGACAUUUCGAUUUUCUAUAUUAUGCGAUCUCGAGAAAUAAAGAGGACGAGUGUUCGAGUUCUCCUGUGUUUCCUGCCAGAAUGAAUGAGAUCCUCUCUCGUUUGCCAAGAACAUAAAGAUCACUUAAAACACAAACUGGCAGAUUUCCGAUCUGCCUCUACCAAACACGCUGCAUUUCCCAAUUUCAUAAAAGUGCUUUUCUCCCUAACAGAAGACGGUGAUGAUAAUCAUAGCAAUCAGUCCAAAAUACAAACAGGAUGUGGAAGGGGCUGAAUCCCAGCUGGACAGGGAUGAACACGGCUUACAUACUAAAUACAUCCACAGGAUGAUGCAGAUCGAGUUUAUACAGCAAGGAAGCAUGAACUUCAGAUUCAUCCCCGUGCUUUUUCCAAACGCCAAAAAGGAACACGUGCCUACCUGGCUGCAGAACACUCACAUUUACAACUGGCCGAAGAAUAAGAAGAACAUCCUUCUGCGGCUGCUGAGAGAGGAGGAGUACGUUGCUCCCCCAAUAGGGCCUUUACCGACGCUCCAGGUUGUGCCGCUAUGAACAUUAUCACUUAAAGUGCACAAGAAGCUUUGUUGUUAAAGAGUUGCUUUUGGCGGGGAGCCAGCCUUCUUCCAGAUGGCUCUUUUUGAUGACAGAAGACACUCUUUCUGCUCAAGGAAUUGGCUGUCUCGGGUAACUCAGGCUCAGCUUGUUCCCCACCAUGUUAAACAUCUAUUUCUGAAGCUGAUGGGGCAGAACUCUUUUCUCCUAGGUUUUUUAAUAAGCUGCAAAUGGAAAGAAUGUCCGGCUUUAUUUUAACAUCUGUUUUGAACAUAUUCCUUUAUUAGUCAAUAUAGCAAACAAAUACCAGAAAUAAUGUUGCAAUAAGUGUAAAAUGAAAAUUACAUCCUCCUUUGUGCUCAGGGUUUCUUUACAGACAUUCCUGCCGUGUACAGCAUUAACAUACAGUCACUUUGUACAUGCACUAUUAAAUACAGUUGCCUUUUGGAAGGCUACCUUACGCGUUGCGUCAGUUUUUCUCAUUGCCGGGAACAACAAGGAGUGGGAAGGGUUGAGUAACGCAAGUUUUUCUCAGACUGCCUUGCAUAAAGACACUGGCUUCAAUUAGAGGCUUUCUGGAUCUGCAGUCUCUGGAGCUCCGCUUCCUUACAGCACAGCCUCUAACACCUUGGGCAUGUCACAGCAGCAGCCCGCAAAGGGACAGCGAAGUGCAACGCUACGUGUGCAGGCAGUGCCCUGGAGUGCUGCUGGACGGUUACAGCGGGCCUUCAGCUUCAUGGCUGCUCCUCACCCCUUGUUUAAAACAGCAUGUCAGAGAGGGAUUGCCAGCUGGAAACCAGGGACUGUUAGGAGAAAUAACACCGACUCCUACAACGUGCAGGCAGUAUGGAAUAAUAAAAUAAUCAAAGACGCUGGAGAGCCACGGGGUGUUGGCAACCGGGACGGCUCAACAUCAUCACAUCUGCUAAAACCUGAGCGUGUUUUUGCAGAGAACAUAAGCAUUACUUCAGUAAGGCUUCUUUAUUUCAGUGCUUUAACCUUUGCUGAGAUAACAGUGCGCCCCGUUGGCUUGAAAUUCUGCAGCCGUCAUCUUUCGAGCAGUCCCAAGAACAACCUGCUCUGCUGCGGAGCACUUCACGCCUUCCCACUACAGGCUCUUUCCAAGAUCCCCUUUAUUAUUUGUUACGAAGUGACCCAAAUACAGCUUCACAAAAAAGCAAGCGUGUUUAGCAGUCUGAAAAGUAAAUUAACCAGAAGUUGAUGCUCCUGUUACAUUGCCCGAGUUAUUUAAUUAGCUUUCCAUGAAAGCCGUGCCUGUGUGGUGUGUUGAUAGAGGACGUGCUUCGUGCUGCUGACGAGAAACAAAGAACCACCUUGCAGCUAUUCUCGGGACAGAUUUUCCUUUAUCAGGCAUUUGCAUACAGAGCCACAGCUGCCUGAGAGCACUAAGAGAAGGGUGUAUCCAGCGUUGUCGAAUCUUAUAACUUUGAAUGUGGUAUUUGCUGUGUUUCUGCCCAGUUCCUAGAGGGAAGCUCAGCAACUGAAAGAGGCCAACACCUGCCGUGCUGGCAGUCCCCAGGCAAGGCACGAUGCUAUUACGCAGUGGCACUUCUUGCCGUCUUCUUUGGGGGUAGGAGCAGUAUUUUCCAUAUGAUAAAAUGAAAAACUAAGCUCCUAAUUAGGAGAAUGAUUUUCUAGUAUACGGUCACGAGUCUAAAAUCAUGACAGAAAUCCUUCUUAAAAGGUCAACGAAGUGAAGAAAAAGGGGGGGAAGGGAAAGAGGCUUGGUUACCUAAACACGGCAUUUAGGGUCACUUGGAGGGUCGUACAACUUCGAGCUCAGCUUCCAGGCUCUGUGCUAGAAAACACAACUUUCUUGGAGUGCUGUGGCACGUCUGCCAGCCCUGUGCAGCUGUUUCAGGUACUUCAAGAUACCUAAAGCAUUUUAACGCUCAAAAAUAAUCCCAGCAUUCACAACAUGCACUUUUUAGCAAUGUUCAUACUUGGGGGAGCACAGAAGGGAGCUUGAGGUUGGGAAUGAGGGGUGUCAUCUGGCAACAAGACCACGGCACAAGACGCUGAAGGCACAGCCAACGAGGCCAGGGAAAUGCAUGGCAGGAGAGGCAGCUGCGAUCUGGGGCCUCCGUCUCUUCCCAGAGGCUGGCAGGAAGGAAUGAGAGCUCCGUGCCCCAUCGCCCUCCAGCCCUAGUAGAGCUGGGAGGGGACUGGGAGGAGUUUUUUGGGGUGCUCAGCGUGGGUGGGAAGUCUGGAGGAGGAACCUGUAGGAAAUGAGGCCACGUUACUAUCACUGCUCACAGAGCCGCGUGUUAGGGAGACCAGUUGAGCGCUCAAGAUGAUUAGCAAGGCUGGGUAGUAAAUUCCUUUCAUCGUUUUGGCUGUCAUCCUAAAAUACGUGCUCUAGAUUUGCUUGGUUUGGGCCAGGGAAUUUCAUUAAGUAAUUCCCACACCAUGCGAUGCACGAGGUCGCAUUAAAUGCUCCGGCGACCAUCUCUAUUCUUCUGUUUCGCUGAUCCCUGUCUGAAAAAACCACGAUUGCAGAGUGAGGGAGAAAAAAAUAAAGCAUUGGCGUUUCGGAAGUACAAAGAGCCCCAUCUAUUUAACUGCAGGGAUUUUUUAUUUAUUUAUUUAUUUUUAAUUGAAUAACAAUUCCCAGGAUCCAUUGAUCUUUACAUUAGUUAGAGCGUCCUACAAGGACAGAAACCACGAUGGGGAGAGGGCGAGUAACGAGCGAGCAGCCUCGUGAAUCCCUUCCCCUAAAGCUUUGUAUUUGGGGAGAGACAGAUGGUGGGAGCUGCGAGGAGGGAGAGGGAGGAGAAAACAACGAAAGUAGGGAUCGAGGACAGCGAAACAGAAAUAAUAAAGCAGGUGAGGGAGAAGAGGCUGAAAACACACAGGUGGUACGAAGGUAAUCCCAUACAACCCCGUGUGCAGGGCAUGAAAUGCUGCCCCGAGAGCUGCACAACUCUGGGCUGGUGGCUCGGGGGAACGCUAAGGCUGAGGGAAAUGUGAGGGAGGGUGUUAAGGGCAGGGAGAUACAGGGCCUGGCGGGGUGAGAGGCCGAGUGGGUAAGGCAGGAAAACAGCCCCGGGAAAGCCCCUCCUGCAUGGCACGCAGAGCAGGUGCGUGUUAUCUCUCAGAGCAAACACCUCCCCUGUCCCUCUCUUCUGCCCACACCUGUGGGUUUAAUAAUCACCACAUAAUAAAUACCUCGUGUUUGGGGAAACAGCCCCUGCCGGGCAGGCCACAGCUUUCUGCAGCCUCCCCCCGGCCUGCCCAGGAUUGCCCUGCCCCGGCCCCCGGCCUGUGGGGCCGUCCCCUCGCCCCAACCCUGGUAGGGGUCCCUGGGGAUUCAUGGGUAGGCCCAGGGAUCCCAGGCAAAAUCCCAUGGACACAUCUGAGCGGGACAGGGUGCUGGGGAAGGGGAGAGGGGAGAGCCAGCCUCCUAAGGACUCCCAUUCUGGACAUGCUGACUUUGAGGCUUCCUUCAAAGCUAUCUUCUGUUCCUCGGGCCGACGGUUCUUACAACGUGUCCGCUCUAUUUUUCCUCAGCCACCCCCGGCGACAGCCCCCUCAGCGCGGCGCUUUGUGCCGGGCGCGUUUGGCAUCGCCGUGCUCCGCGCGUGGGAUUUCCAGCGAGCAGCGGGGGCUGCAGGAUGCUGCUCAGGUCUUCAAAGGAAGCAAUUUAGCGAGCAAGACUUCUAAAAAAGAUAACACCAGUGGGGAUCGAGCUGAAAAGCCCAGGGAGUAGCUAAUGCGUUUAAAGAGCCUUUCAUCCCUCGGCUGGCAGAGAGAAUUCAGCCUGGCUUGGUACUGACCAAAGCCACCGAGGUUAGGGUCUGGUAGCAUCGCUUAAACUCUCCGUGGAUGCUGUGUGCAGCUCACUCAUGUGUACCGCGUAAGGCACUGAGAAAUCAUUUAGAAGGAGAACAUUUAUCUCCAUUUCACUGCCGAAUUGCUGCAGACAGCACAACGCCAUCAGCUCGCUCUGCCGCAGGUGCCUUACCCAAGGAGCGGCGCUGAGAGCAAACGGGCCACUUAGGUGAAGUUAUCUGAGGCUUACUGACAAGUACUCUGCACACGCAAGUAAUUUGUAUUUUUAUGGGUCCAUUUUCCUCCCACUCCUACAACAGAGAUGCUUUUUUCCUGAAGCACCGUCUGG